rnacentral:rRNA from 1 species
UACGGGGGGGGCAAGCGUUGUUCGGAAUUACUGGGCGUAAAGGGCGCGUAGGCGGUUGGAUAAGUCAGCUGUGAAAACCACGGGCUUAACUCGUGGCCUGCAGUUGAGACUGUCUGGCUUGAGUGUGGGAGAGGAGAGUGGAAUUCCUGGUGUAGCGGUGAAAUGCGUAGAUAUCAGGAAGAACACCGGUGGCGAAGGCGGGUCUCUGGGCCGAUACUGACGCUGAGGAGCGAAAGCGUGGGGAGCGAACAGG